GUGCCAGCAGCCGCGGUAAUACGGGGGGGGCAAGCGUUGUUCGGAAUUACUGGGCGUAAAGGGUUUGUAGGUGGCCUGCUAAGUCAGACGUGAAAUCCCUCAGCUUAACUGGGGAACUGCGUCUGAGACUGGUAGGCUCGAGGACAGGAGAGGAACGCGGAAUUCCAGGUGUAGCGGUGAAAUGCGUAGAUAUCUGGAGGAACACCGGUGGCGAAGGCGGCGUUCUGGACUGUUUCUGACACUGAAAAACGAAAGCCAGGGGAGCAAACGGGAUUAGAUACCCCAGUAGUCC
rnacentral:rRNA from 1 species